UACGAAGGGGGCUAGCGUUGUUCGGAAUUACUGGGCGUAAAGCGCGCGCAGGCGGCUAUCCAAGUCAGUGGUGAAAGCCCGGAGCUCAACUCCGGAACUGCCAUUGAAACUGUUUAGCUUGAGGACGAGAGAGGUGAGUGGAAUUCCCAGUGUAGAGGUGAAAUUCGUAGAUAUUGGGAAGAACACCGGUGGCGAAGGCGGCUCACUGGUUCGUAUCUGACGCUCAGGCGCGACAGCGUGGGGAUCAAACAGG
rnacentral:rRNA from 1 species